UACAGAGGGUGCGAGCGUUGUCCGGAAUCACUGGGCGUAAAGGGCGCGUAGGCGGUCCGCUAAGUGUGUGGUGAAAGCUCGGGGCUCAACCCCGAGUCGGCCGUGCAAACUGGUGGACUCGAGCAUGUCAGAGGCAGGCGGAAUUCCGGGUGUAGCGGUGGAAUGCGUAGAGAUCCGGAGGAAGACCGGUGGCGAAGGCGGCCUGCUGGGCAGUUACUGACACUGAGGCGCGACAGCGUGGGGAGCAAACAGG
rnacentral:rRNA from 1 species